rnacentral:lncRNA from 1 species
AAGGACUGUGGCUUUUUGGCAAAAGGAAAACUUCAACCCAUCCUGAAAAUAGACGUAUAAUAAAUGAGAUAGAGUCAAGCCCCAGGGAGGUGGAAGCCGGGGUGAAAUCCACCUGAAGGUGUGCAGAGGGCCUGGAGGCUGAGGUUUGGGGUGGUGUCCCACCCUGAGUUUUUCCAGGGUUGUUGUUGACAGGGCCACAACUACAGCAACACGGGUUCCGAGCCGUGUCUGCAACCUGUGCCACAGCACACGGCAACAACGAAUUCUUAACCCACUGAGCAAGGCCAGGGAUUGAACCCUGUCCUCAUGGAUGCUAGUCAGGAUUGCUACACCGGCGCUUCUCUGUCAGGUUCCCACACGCACCAGAGAAGGGCGAGAACAGAAAGCAAAGCUGCGAGUGGCACCUGAGACAAGCGGCUGUCAGCCUCCCCUGCAGAGGGACCGUGGCUUCGGGAGUGACCGGGAGGGAAGCGGCCACGAGAACCAUUUUCCUCAUGGAGCUUCCAGGAAGACACAUCUGUAGCCUGGCCCCUCCGAGCAGCGGCCUGGGGGGCAUCUUCCACUCCGCCUUCGUCUGACGCCUGUGCUGCCUUUCAUUCCAACCAUCGGGCUUUUUCCUGUGUCUCCGGGGCUCGGUCCGAUGCUCAUUCCUGAUAAUCUCUUUCGACGGAGUCCCCGGGCCUAAGGCUUCUCGUGGCUGUUUCUGCGUCUCUCCCUUGUGCUGACUUUUGCUUGCUCGUGUAUUUGCUGACCGCUGAUGCGGACUCAAGGCUUGGUCCCCCCGUGUAAAUCCUGCGGAUUUCGAUGGAAGGUGUGUUCAUCCCGAGAGGAAGAGCAUCCGCUUCGGUCACACCCUGGGGAGUACCUCAGAUUUAGGGACUGUGGUAGGCAGAAUCCUGGCCCCCCAAAUAUUUCCGGCCUCUAAUCCCUGAAACCUAGGACUGUAUGAGCCUUACGUGGUAAAAGGAACACUGCCGAUUUGAUGACGCUGUGGCUGCAGAGGUGGACACAGGGGUGGAGGGUGGAAGCCAGUCAGCAGAGGAGGACUUGGCCGAGCUGCCGGCUCUGGUGGAGGAAGGGUCCCCAGCCAAGAGCGCAGCAGCCUCCAGAGGCGGCACACAGGGAAGAGGGCUGGUUCUCCACGGAGCCUCCAGAAGGGGCGCAGCCCAGCCGACAGAGAGAGAGCCAUUUUGAAUCCUAACCUCCGGACCUGCAGGACGUUUGUGCUGCUUUGCGCCAUGAAGUUUGUGGCUGUAACAGUCGCAGCAGUUGCCCACACAGGGCCUCUGUCUGGGUCCUUCUGGAGAGACUUGACCUCAUCAGGGUCUCCGCUGACUCACAGGUCCUGAGAACACACAAAAGAAGUAAGCAUAAAAGCAAAAUAGGAAUCAAAAGUAAAAAUAAAUCAGAAAACAAAUUUUAGCUUGUAUGGGAAAAUGUCAUUCAAACUAAUAAGCAUCGAAUGAAGUCUCCAAGUUUAAGAAUGGAAGAUUCACCUGGUAGGGAAUAUUUUUAAUAUGUGAAGAACAUCAAACAAUGGUCAACAGGGUUGGUUAUUCUGGAAUGAAAUUGUACUUUAGAGAGUGCCGAGUUGUCUUUUGCGCUUAGUAAGACGGCAGAAUCGCUGCUGUGUUGGAGAUGAAGCUGGUACAUUCACCCAUAAUAUGCAUCAUGUAAAUUAAUGCGAUGCUGCCUACAACCCAUCUAGAAGCAUCUAUCAUGACAGAAACAGCAAACAGACAUGCAUACCGGCAAGUAAAAAAACACCUUUCCUUUAGAAUCCUACUUUUGGGGAUUUAAACUACAGACUUUAUCUAAAAGUAAAAAAAUGGUUAUUGUAGUAUGUGUGCAUAAUAGAUAGCAGUGCAAAAUUUUGGCAUCAACCUUAAUAGUCCACAAAGAAAUUAAAAUCGAAGUGAAUUUCAGGAUGCAGAACUUAAAAUAGUCAUUAUGGACUUUGGCUACAUGGAAACUCUUGAUGUAAAAACAAAAUAUAUACUCAUUUCUCCUUUUUUUCUGCAAUAGAAAAAUGGAAAUCAUUUGGCAUAUUGGGAUAAGCAGCAUCAAUGAACUUGAACAACAAUUAAGUAAACGUCAACUUUUUAAAUGAACUGCUAUUAACUGUGGUGCAUGGAUUGUUACAUUUACUUUAGCUCUUUGUAGCAAAACGCUUUGCAAAUGUCAGGCCUUGUUUCUCCCAACUGCAGGCUGGCCCUGCCCUUCCAGCCCCUCAGUGCAGAUAGCACCCAGCUGGGGGUUCGGCGGCAGCCCCUUGUGUGCAAAACAAAGGCUGCCUACAGAUUUCUACCAAAUGCCAAUGCCUGGGAGUGGGGCUGGCCGUGCCCACAGGUACCCAGGCCAGCCUGUUUCUCCCCAACACCAGGCGCGGCCGUGUGACCCGAUAAGCCGCCACAUGCUGGGCCUCGCUGUCCCUCCGGGUCACGCGGGAGAGCUGGGCGUUUCGUUGUUGUUGUUUUCCUUUCAGCUCAGCUCUGCGGUUCCCCUGGUGUCUGGAGGUAAGUGUUAUCCCUCGGCCACCCUCCCUUCUCCAGUGUGACAGCUACCCACCCCCGGGUCACGCUUCUUGGCUGCCCAUAGAGAGGGGCCUGGAGUUUGUCACAUUCGUUGGUUGUAUUUAGGCUUUUGGAAAUCAUUAACCUAGUUGUGAAUAGACCCAAUUACUGCCGCCGCCUCUGAAAGUGUCUACGUUGGAUCCGUAUGCAUUUAUUUUUUAGCCUUUGGUCUGAGUCACCGUGUUUAUAGGAUGUUUACUGCAUGAUCCGAGAUGGCAGAGGGUCCCUUGGGAGAGUGAGGUUCCCGAACAUGUUCAGGCAAUAGGACCAGGGGCUGUUUCGGUUCUUGUUUGUGAAAAAAUACACGUGCGGAGUUAUGGAGACAUAGUUGGACUAGCUGGCGUCUGGCACAUUCCAAGGGCACGUUCAGGUGUGCAAUCUCCCUGGCUGUCUCAUUACCCAGAAAUGGGAUCUUUUACUGGAAUGAGAACAAGCUCAAACAGUACAAAGUGCAAGCAAACCUCUCCUGAGCUCGAGGUUUUCUCUGGCCUCACACUUAACCAUUGACUGCCAACCCCUCUUCCUCCCCAAAAUCAAAUGUUGUGAAUCCGGGUUGUAGGUGAGUUAUCAGGCACGCCCGUACACUGUGCCAUGCUGGAUUUUCACUUGGGAUUCAGGUGCUUCUCUGAAACUUGGCCUCUUAGAGCUGAAAGGGAAAGGCUAUGAAAAGAAUGUUAAAUUUGCUCCAUGCAGAAACUUGAUAUACAAAUUCUAUUUAAAGAAACGGUUUGAUAAGUAAAUUUGACAUUUUGAACAGUCUUGUUAAUUAAAACCCUUAUACAUUUUC